CGCUUUAAUUUUUUUAAUAUCCAUUGCUGACUUGAGGGGGCUCGGAAUGGGUGGCCCCCUUCCUUUUCCAUGCACACUGCACCCCUAUACAGCUUCCUGACUAAACCCUACUACCCACACAGGACUACUACCUCUCCCCCCUCCCACACUUUUUUUUUUUAAAUUCUUUUUCUCACUUCUUCCUCCCAAGAUCCAUUCUUCCUGCCUUUUUUACACUCUGUUUACCAUCUUUCCUCUUUAGACAAGUAGGCGCUUCUUUGAAAGGUAUCCACCUCGAGGUAUUUUAAUACACAGUAGUAAAACUGUUAAAGAAAGAGUUUGUGCACCAACAUAGAAAAUAAUGACAAUUCCUAUAACACUUGUUGAGAAUGAC